AAUUUCCUGACCUCGUGAUACACCCUCCUCGGCCUCCCAAAGUCCUGGGAUUCCAGGCGUGAGCCACUGCGCCUGGCCGUAAAUUUUUUUAUUUUAAGAACGAAAUGAAGUUAGACUCUGUUUCUUACAUUUGGAGAUGAAGAAUUGUCCUGUAAACAUGUAGGCGCAAAGGAUAAAUAUAUAUUGAAAAUGUGAUAGAAGGCAUUGGAGUGCUACCCAGAAAAUUAUGAUGUAUGACAAUAAAAUUGAGAAGAGAAGGCAGAUUCAAAGAGGAUCUCUCCCUGUGGUGCCUAGGUUGGUUUAAAACUCUUGGCCUCAAGCGAUCCUCCCACCUUGAAUUCCCAAAGCAAGGUGCUAUUAGUAAUUGGCUCAGAGAACUCGCCAUUAGGGGCAGUGCAUCACUUAACAAUGGCUGGGCGUGAAAGAGAUUUACAGAAAAGUUGUGAAGAUGGUGCAGAAAUGUCCCAUAUACCUUUCACCCAGCUUCUCCUGUUGUUAGUGCCUUACAUGAUGAUGGUGUGUCCGGAAUGGGUGGGUUCUUGGUCUCACUGACUUCAAGAAUG
rnacentral:lncRNA from 10 species